GACGAACGCUGGCGGCGUGCUUAACACAUGCAAGUCGAACGGAAAGGCCCUGCUUUUGUGGGGUGCUCGAGUGGCGAACGGGUGAGUAACACGUGAGUAACCUGCCCUUGACUUUGGGAUAACUUCAGGAAACUGGGGCUAAUACCGGAUAGGAGCUCCUGCUGCAUGGUGGGGGUUGGAAAGUUACGGCGGUUGGGGAUGGACUCGCGGCUUAUCAGCUUGUUGGUGGGGUAGUGGCUUACCAAGGCUUUGACGGGUAGCCGGCCUGAGAGGGUGACCGGCCACAUUGGGACUGAGAUACGGCCCAGACUCCUACGGGAGGCAGCAGUGGGGAAUAUUGCACAAUGGGCGGAAGCCUGAUGCAGCAACGCCGCGUGCGGGAUGACGGCCUUCGGGUUGUAAACCGCUUUCGCCUGUGACGAAGCGUGAGUGACGGGAAUGGGUAAAGAAGCACCGGCUAACUACG
rnacentral:rRNA from 1 species